rnacentral:rRNA from 1 species
CCUACGGGCGGCAGCAGUGGGGAAUAUUGCGCAAUGGUCGAAAGCCUGACGCAGCGACGCCGCGUGAGGGAUGAAGGUCUUCGGAUCGUAAACCUCUGUCAGCAGGGAAGAACGGUCACUGUGCUAAUCAGCAGUGAAUUGACGUUACCUGCAAAGAACGCACCGGCUAACUCCGGGCCAGGAGCCGCGGGAAUACGGAGGGUGCGAGCGUUAAUCGGAAUUACUGGGCGUAAAGCGCUCGUAGGCGGUAUGUCAAGUCAAGGGUGAAAUCCCCGCGCUCAACGUGGGAACUGCCUUUGAAACUGGCAAACUGGAGUGUGUGAGAGGAUAGUGGAAUGCCAGGUGUAGGAGUGAAA